rnacentral:rRNA from 1 species
AUUGAACGCUGGCGGCAGGCCUAACACAUGCACGUCGAGCGGAGCGGCGGACGGGUGAGUAAUGCCUAGGAAUCUGCCUGGUAGUGGGGGAUAACGUCCGGAAACGGGCGCUAAUACCGCAUACUAGCAGAUGAGCCUAGGUCGGAGUAGCUAGUUGGUGGGGUAAAGGCCUCACAAGGCGACGAUCCGUAACUGUUCUGAGAGGAUGAUCAGUCACAUUGGAAAUGAGACACGGCCCAGACUCCUACGGUAGUCAUCAGUGGGGAAUAUUGGAUAAUUGGCGAAGGCCUGAUCCAGCCAUGCCGCGUGUGUGAAGAAGGUCGUCGGAUUGUAAAGUACUUUUAGUUGGGAGGCGUUACCAACAGAAUAAGCACCGGCUAACUUCGUGCCAGCAGCCGCGGUAAUAC